rnacentral:lncRNA from 1 species
UCCCAGGCAGAGCUGCCCCAGGCAUGGCCAGGAUCCUCAGCAGGGUCAGAAGUGGCUGCAGUGAAAAUGGCAAUUGCCCCUAAUUUGUUGGUAAUAAGACUCGGCCUCUCCCCGUGGCCUGGGCCAAGGUGUGCUGAUUGCUGGAGAAGGGUGCCCGGUCCCUGCCCGGGUAAGCUUGCCCUGCAAAGCUGUGAGGGCAGUGAGAAAACACCCUCGGAAGCACUGAGAAACAUUCCGUGCCAGAUGAGCGCUAGGAAAGAGAACAACCCUUGCCAAAGGCCAGCCAGAAAGUGCUUUGCUGCGGCCUGGCAAGGCAGACAGGGACCCAAAAUGCUCUAGCAAAGCAGGUGGGACACCCUCUCACACUGCAGACCCACAGACUUGGAGUGCAGCUGAGGCAGCAGGGAGGGAAGUGGCAAGGCAUGGAACAACAGGUCCCAGCAGCGAGGUGCCAGCCUGGGGGACACGCACACCUCGAGCCCCAGGUCGGGGACACUCACACCUAUGGCACGGGGCCGUCGUGGCCGUGCCUCGUGGCCAUCUGUGGGCAGAGCAUCGUGCCCUGGGACCAGGUGUGCUCAGCUGACUGACGUCUCCAGCUGUGCCCCUUUGCUGGGUGAGAAAGCUCCUGGAUGCAGCACUGCUCCUCAGAAACCAACCAUCUUCUCAGAAAACUUCGUGAACAAAGCACGGACGACCCGUGAGCGAGGUGCUAAAAGAGAGGUGCUCCUUCUCUGGUGGCAAAAAGCUCUUCACGGUGAGGAGCCCCCCGAGGCUGCACUGCCAGGUUCUUCAGGGAAA